AGGGGCAGCAUUGGAGUAGCAUACUUCAGAUGGCGACCGGCGCACGGGUGAGUAACACGUAUCCAACCUUCCGCUUACUCGGGGAUAGCCUUUCGAAAGAAAGAUUAAUACCCGAUGGUAUAAAGAGUUCGCAUGUUCUCUUUAUUAAAGAAUUUCGGUAAGCGAUGGGGAUGCGUUCCAUUAGAUUGUUGGCGGGGUAACGGCCCACCAAGUCUACGAUGGAUAGGGGUUCUGAGAGGAAGGUCCCCCACAUUGGAACUGAGACACGGUCCAAACUCCUACGGGAGGCAGCAGUGAGGAAUAUUGGUCAAUGGACGAGAGUCUGAACCAGCCAAGUAGCGUGAAGGAUGACUGCCCUAUGGGUUGUAAACUUCUUUUAUAAGGGAAUAAAGUGAGGGACGUGUCCCUUUUUGUAUGUACCUUAUGAAUAAGGAUCGGCUAACUCCGUGCCAGCAGCCGCGGUAAUACGGAGGAUCCAAGCGUUAUCCGGAUUUAUUGGGUUUAAAGGGAGCGUAGGUUGACAUAUAAGUCAGCUGUGAAAGUUUACGGCUCAACCGUGAAAUUGCAGUUGAUACUGUAUGUCUUGAGUGUACAAGAGGUGGGCGGAAUUCGUGGUGUAGCGGUGAAAUGCUUAGAUAUCACGAAGAACUCCGAUUG
rnacentral:rRNA from 1 species